UACGUGCAAGCAGGGCUGGGAACCAUCGGAUCUCCCUCUGAAUUUCUAGAACUCCUUGUUCCUGCUUGUUCCAACAAUAACAAAGGAAAAGGCCUUUCUUUGGUGGCAUUUUGGCUUUCUGCUGCAGUGAAUCAUGGAGAGAAUUUUACCUUUGAAGUAACUUAUUUGAAAAGUCAUACUCUGCGUGCUGAGGCUCGGUGGACUGGGAUCGCACUUCUUCACUUCCUCACGUCUCCUGAUUAUUCUUCUCUGGAUCAAAAUAUGCAUAUAUUGUUGCAUUCCUUUGCUUAAUCUCAGCAGGAAACUUCACUUUAAAGCACCUUCAGAUGGUAAAAUGUAAGAAACCACCACGUGGGGACAGCUGUGGGGUCCAUCCCAUCCAUUGCCUGCUCCAGCAGCAGCCAGCACCAGGUGAUGCUGUGAGCCCUCCAGAUGUGUACUGCUGUAGCCCAUCUCCAAGAAGCUGUUCUUCCCCAUCAUCCUCAUGGUCUGAUAGCAGUUACUGGUUUGUCAGAGGCAAACCACUGAGCUUUGCCCUGUGCUGUGGUUCCCUGUGCAGAAAUGCAGGAGUAAGGGUUGCAAGCAGGUUGGCCCUCAUGUUGACCACUAAAUGCUGGGCUGCUUUACAUGUCCUGAUAUGCCACUGGGUUGCCAAGUCACAGACAUUGCCAAGAUUAAUGCAGGAUGCAUGCUUUUAGCAGCAAAGUCUUGCCCUACCUGUCUUUGCUUUCACAUCCACACUCAGAAAAUGAAGAUAAGAAUCCUCAAUUCCCUCUGGACAGAACAGUGAGAGGUGUUUAUGUGUCAAGCCCAGGGAACACAGAAUUGUAAAUAUUUAUUAUGUUGCUAGGGAGGAAGAAAACAGACUGGAGGUGGUGACAGGAGGAAAGUGCCACUUCAAGUCCACCUAAUGAAUGCCAAAGUCCGGGUCACUGUCAGCCUCUGCUGCUCCAUGGGAAAUACUAUUGCUCCUUUAUUUUGUGUUACAGUAAGCUGAGGUUUGCAAGCACAGAGAAAGAGGUGGUCCUGGCCUGAAAGAGCUUUCUGUGCACCUGAGCAAGAGAUGAAAAGCCAAGGAGAAUGAGGUGACAGAUGAGAUGGUACAAGGGCAAAGCCCAGUCUCCUGCACCUCUGCCCAUGUUCCAUAGGAGCAAGCUCUUCCUCCAGCAACACACUGCACUAGGGAGAUGAUGGCUGAGACACACUGUCUAGGAAUGUCCUUCUAAAUGUUUUGUUGAUGAUGGUGCAUCAAAUGGCCAACUCUAUCCAAUGGGGUGUAGCAAAGCUCUAUGGCAAUGCUUGUAUUUUUCCAAGGAUUUUUUCUUGCAUUUCUGCUCUGAAUGCAGCCCAACAGUCCCCACAUAGCCAUGUGCUGUGGGAAUGUCCUCCCAGGGCCUCCCAGUCCCAGAUCCCAGGAAUGGGAUCUGCCAUAGGUACUGCUGUGCUGCUGCUGGGAAUGCCAAACCAUCCCAGCCAGAGCUCUUCAGUGCCAAGGAGGGUUUGCACGGAGGUUUUAAAUGGCACUAUAUCCAAUACAUUUUCAAAUUAAGUAUAAAUUAAAAAAAAAAGUCAGAGCAGGAUGAUAAAAGUGGCCAGUAGUCUACUUCCAGUUUUAGAGUGCAAUAUUUCUGACAGUAAGUGUAGGUUUGUGGACAAAAGAUCUUGUGAUUUAUUGAGCCAUUAAUUAAUUAGGAGAUUAAAGUAGGAGUAGCAAAAAAAAAAACCCAAAAAACAAAAAACCUUAGAGUUAAUUAUAAAUGUUGUAAAAGAGUGUAAGAAGAUUCCUAAUCCAGCUCACCCUUUAUUCUUCCACAAAAACAUUUAAAAUACAUUGAACUUUAAACCUGCUAAAUCCUCUUCAGCAAAAAGACCUUAAACAUACAUAGAGACUGUAAUGGCCUUUCUUAGUCAGGUCAGAUCUAACUGUGCAAAAUACAAUUUAAGCACUGAAAUCUGUCUGCAUCUCAGUUGCACUCCUCCUCCUCUGCAUGCCUGAACUGUGCUCCUCACUGAGACCUUCCCAUCCUGGUGCCUGCAGUUCUUCCACCCGUUCUCCUUGACAUAUCCUCUGUGAUUCACAUCUCUUUCUCUUCGCUCCUUAAGGGCCAGCUCCCUGCCCUCACAUCAUUGUUAGAAGGCUGUGUGGUUCCUGAUACCUAUCCCUCCAACAUCUUCACUUUUGUGAAACAAGAAAAUCCAAUUCUUAUCUUUUGCUAAGAGUUUUGUUCCUAUUUCCCACAGGACUUUUUUUUUUUUAGCAGCUUAAUAGCCACAAGCUCUCUCUUUGCACUUGAUAAUCCCUUUGAUCUUCUUCACUCAUUGCUCGGCAGAGUGCCAUAAAGAUGGUACUACCUUUAAUCUUUUUUGCCAUUGAUCAGUAAUAUUUCUGUCCGCUGCUCCUCUGUGAUUCGUUUGCUGAAAUUGCCACUGCAUUUCCUCUGCGUGUUCUUGGAGGAAGUGUCAUAACAAGGGUAGGGUUUCAGGAGAAGAUCACAGUUGCUGGAAUGAGCACUGUUUGAGGAGAAAGGUUAUGCCCAGUAGUAACAAUAUCAGAGGUGUCACAUAUAUGUGCUGUGGGUUAUUUUUCUAAGAAAACGUUGUCUGAUCUGUCUGUAAAUGGCUUGAGGAUAAAGUUGCAUCCUAUUACAAGACAAAUACGAUGUUUACAGGAGCAAAUCAUAACAAAUUCAACCAGAGAUCCAAGAGAGCACCUUGCUUUCCUUUUUCAUGAACUUGGGCAUUGCCCAGAGCAGAUGAGCUGAUGAUGUGCCAGGAGAUAACAAGGGCUGCAAAGUAAAACCCAACCUUUCUUCCACAUUA